rnacentral:lncRNA from 1 species
GUGUAGUAAACUCGUUUCGUUGGGGAUGAGAGUGUAUAGACCUUCUCAUUUUGGCGUGAUCUGGCAAGAUGACAGGUGGGUCAUGACCCUAUAAUUCUACGUUAGACCAUAUGCUAAAAUAUUCUACUGUGGUACCACAGGGAAGUUGUGUUUUUUAUAAACGGCUUUCUCUUGUUUACCAGAGCGGCCGGUUCAUCACUGUUACCAGUUUUGAAUUUU